rnacentral:rRNA from 1 species
GUGGGGAAUAUUGGGCAAUGGGCGAAAGCCUGACCCAGCAACGCCGCGUGAAGGAAGAAGGUUUUCGGAUCGUAAACUUCUAUCCUUGGUGAAGAUAAUGACGGUAGCCAAGAAGGAAGCCCCGGCUAACUACGUGCCAGCAGCCGCGGUAAUACGUAGGGGGCAAGCGUUGUCCGGAAUGAUUGGGCGUAAAGGGCGCGUAGGCGGCCCGGUAAGUCUGAAGUGAAAGUCCUGCUUUUAAGGUGGGAAUUGCUUUGGAUACUGUCGUGCUUGAGUGCAGGAGAGGUAAGCGGAAUUCCCGGUGUAGCGGUGAAAUGCGUAGAGAUCGGGAGGAACACCAGUGGCGAAGGCGGCUUACUGGACUGUAACUGACGCUGAGGCGCGAAAGUGUGGGGAGCAAACAGGAUUAGAAACCCCUGUAGUCC